rnacentral:rRNA from 1 species
UACGUAGGGGGCAAGCGUUGUCCGGAAUCACUGGGCGUAAAGGGCGCGUAGGCGGCCGUGUAAGUCACUUGUGAAAUCCCGGGGCUCAACUCCGGGGCCGCAGGUGAGACUGCGUGGCUAGAGCACGGUAGAGGCGAGUGGAAUUCCCGGUGUAGCGGUGGAAUGCGUAGAUAUCGGGAAGAACACCGGUGGCGAAGGCGGCUCGCUGGGCCGUUGCUGACGCUGAUGCGCGAAAGCCAGGGGAGCAAACGGG